GCGUUCUGGUUUAUUUUUGUCCCAGCUUUGUUGCAUGAUUGCCCUUUUGGCCAGCAAUAAUGUGGUAACAUUGGGGAAGCAUUGCAGAGCAAACUAAAGCAGAAUAAACCUACUACUAACGCACUAUUGUGUCAAGAACAUGUUGCAGAACAUACCCACAAUAAAAACAACCAUCUGGAGGGUCCCUAUAUGUUAUAUAAAGCAGCCCAAACCAAUUUAACUGCUAUUAUAGCUGCUCCCAAGAUUCCCGGGUUGAUACUUUUUGAUGUGUUGAAUGUUCACAGUUUGACCUUCUCAAUAGGGUUUCCAGCUUUUUCAACUAUUCUCUCUAGCUGUGCCCUAAACAAUAGCUUGAUCAGCAGCUGGCAGGCAGCAGGGUGGCCACAUGUCAGACUUUACAGAAAAUAUUCCUCUAUUUGGAGGGAUGUCUAGUCCUAGUUCAAAGCUUUUAAAAAAUCCUAAUAGGGAAAGCAGCAGGGGCCUUGAAGUGGCUGGUCAAUUUUUAACACCUGGACAGAAAACUCAGCAGGCACAUGGGUCAUGGUCUUCCUAAUUUUGGUGAGAUAUGUUGUAUUUAGAUUUAAGUUAUAGUAAUUAUUUCUAAAUUUGCAUCUAUAUAUCUAAAGUAGCAGUUUUAAAUUUAAACAAACCUAUACCCCUUUUGUCCUCUGUUUUGGACAACAUAUAAGGGCCCACCCUAGCAAGCAAUAACAUUUAUGUCCAUAAUUACCAGUGCCAACUGAAAAUUUGGAAAUCCAACUUACUUAGCUGCUGUUAAAAAAUCACUUGUUGAAGGAAAGGGGUUUUUUUUAAGAAGCAACUAAUUUGCAUUUGCAGUGUAAUAAAUGUAUUGUCUAGAUGACCUGCAUAAACUGGUUUCUCUACCAUGGCUUCCCACACUGUCAGCUGAAUAGAGUAAGAAGAGGCCAAAGCUCUCUUAACAGAAAUAAAAAAUUAGUAGCCUCUUCAAAGUACAGUUCUCUGAGGUCCAUGGAAGAAGCCAUGGCCAUUAAACCUAUUUAUUACUGGUUUAGGUUGUAAUACAGAUGUGUCCCCCUAGGGAUAUACUUGAAGAAACAUGACUGGGUAAUCCACACUCAGUAUUCACACACUGGGCAACACACAGAAGUGUGUAGCCCAUGCAUUUACGCACAAACCAGCACAUCUAUGCAAAGCAUGGGCUGAUGGCGCUCACACUUGCCCACAUAAUUCUGACUCACAUUCUCAGGGCAUAUCCACACUAUAAUUUUUUUUAAUCAGUUAUAACAAAGAUUCAGAUGUCAUGGCAACCUCCAACGAAUUCUGGGAACCGUAGUUUGGUGAGGGUGCCGAGACUUCUUUGUUAGAGAUCCCUAACCCCCCACAUAAAACUCCAGUUCUCCGGGUCCCCUGGGGAGGCAGGUGUUGAUAAUGGCCACUCUCAACACAGAUAUAAAGAAAGCAUAUAUAUACAUGUACACCCACAGUCAGAGAGUAGCAGGACCCCACAAUAUGCAAACCAUCUAGCCGGACAUGUGCACCACAUCACCACAACCGCAUCAGUCCCACACUUUGCAGCUGUUUCUUGUGGGCCAUUGAGUUUUCCCAUUGCUGGGCUGGGCUACGGGGACAGAAAGGCAGCCAUUUUGGACUGCAGUACAAGGAGGCAACGUUGCUCCUCUUUCAGAGACUUUUAUGCUGCUCCCUCCAUCGCACACAUGCUCUCCCUUGUGGAAGAGCUACCGCCAGGUCAAUCUCAUACAGAAAGCAAUAAACCAGCCCCCAUUGCCAGCCUGUCCCAAUAAGGGAGAGGCUCUCUGUACACAGCAAUGCACUCUCACACUCUGCCUGUGGCGACAGGACAGCACGGGGCAUCAAUUGCAUCACAUCACCCUCUCUCCAAAGCCAGCCAGUUUGACAAAGCCCCUUUCAUCCUUCUCACCUAUGCCCUUUUCUCCUUCCAUUGUGGCUUAGACUCAACUAUCCCUUAUCAUUCUAGCUAUUCCUUCUCAGCAAGCCCCUAUUUUCUCUUUCUGCUCAUCCAGUCCAACAUAUACCCUUCCAUCAGUUCACCCAGCCAAUUGUCCAUGGCCCACAUAUUUUCCCAUCCACCUUUCUAGUUUCCUUCACAUUUCUCCCCCCAAGUCAAUCCAGCUCAAACAUCACAUUAAAUCAGAAUGUAUUUCAUCAGUAAUUUCACCAAAAUAUGUAGGAAAGCCAGAGACCUAAGUUGCUGGCAAUCUCCCAUAUUUUAUCCAUCCAUGCCGCAUGGGUUCUUAAAGUGACUCACCAAUUCUUUAUGAAGUCGUGCACAUCAUAUUCUCCAAGGCUGAUCCAUCCUCGUAACAGAUUUGUAUGUGAUCUUGGUGAUACUGGCUCCAGUUUGCACCAUGGCUACGGUUUGCAUCCACUCCGUCAUAAUCUGUUCAUGGGUUCUGUUGGUGAACAUCGUCAUUAAGCAUUUGUCCAUUUUCCCUUCCACCCAUUUUUCACCUCUCUAGUCCUCCUUCAUUAACUUCUUCACAUGCACCCUGAUGCCUCAUUUGUCUUGUACUGCAAUUUGCCCAAGAGAGGGAGGGAUUAACCAGCGAAAUCCAGGCCUGUUGAACCUAGAAGGAGCAACUGGGCCAGACUGGUUUUGGUUGCUCACUACCACCCACCCUUGCAUCCUUCCAUUAACAUUCAACUCUGGUGCUACAAGGGACUCCUGGAUGAGGGUUUGGGCCUGUGUUCCCCUGAAAACUCUGUUAAGACCUGGCCCUGCCUCCCAUCCCUUUGCAUCUCCCCUUGAUGGCGAUAGAGAGGGAGGUGCAUCUCACCUUUUUCCCAUUCACAGUGAUCUUUUUAUUUCUUCUCUCAUUUUACAUUUCAUCUACUCUGCUUCCCCACCAACACUCCAUCCUCCCCCCCAACCCUUAUCGUCCCCUGGUCUUUGGUCUCUGGGACAUUAUACUGUCUGCAUGAGCUGACAUGCCGAGGUUACAGCAUGUAAUAAAAUUAUUUCCUUUUCAUUUAAAACUUU